rnacentral:rRNA from 1 species
AUUGAACGCUGGCGGAAUGCUUUACACAUGCAAGUCGAACGGCAGCACGGGGGCAACCCUGGUGGCGAGUGGCGAACGGGUGAGUAAUGUAUCGGAACGUGCCCAGUCGUGGGGGAUAACGUAGUGAAAAUUACGCUAAUACCGCAUACGAUCUAUGGAUGAAAGCGGGGGAUCGCAAGACCUCGCGCGAUUGGAGCGGCCGAUAUCAGAUUAGGUAGUUGGUGGGGUAAAGGCCCACCAAGCCAACGAUCUGUAGCUGGUCUGAGAGGACGACCAGCCACACUGGAACUGAGACACGGUCCAGACUCCUACGGGAGGCAGCAGUGGGGAAUUUUGGACAAUGGGCGAAAGCCUGAUCCAGCCAUUCCGCGUGCAGGAUGAAGGCCCUCGGGUUGUAAACUGCUUUUGUACAGAACGAAAAGGUUUCUACUAAUACUAGGAGCUCAUGACGGUACUGUAAGAAUAAGCACCGGCUAACUACGUGCCAGCAGCCGCCGCAG